UACCAGCACCCCGAGUGGUCGGGACGUUUAUUGGGCCUAAAGCAUCCGUAGCCGGUUCUACAAGUCUUCCGUUAAAUCCACCUGCUUAACAGAUGGGCUGCGGAAGAUACUAUGGAGCUAGGAGGCGGGGAGAGGCAAGCGGUACUCGAUGGGUAGGGGUAAAAUCCGUUGAUCCAUUGAAGACCACCAGUGGCGAAGGCGGCUUGCCAGAACGCGCUCGACGGUGAGGGAUGAAAGCUGGGGGGAGCAAACCGG
rnacentral:rRNA from 1 species